rnacentral:rRNA from 1 species
UACGUAGGGGGCAAGCGUUGUCCGGAUUUAUUGGGCGUAAAGAGCGUGUAGGCGGUCAGGUAGGUCCGUUGUGAAAACUCGAGGCUCAACCUCGAGACGCCGAUGGAAACCAUCUGACUAGAGUCCGGAAGAGGUGAGUGGAACUCCGAGUGUAGAGGUGAAAUUCGUAGAUAUUCGGGAAGAAACACCAGUGGCGAAGGCGGCUCACUGGUCCGGUACCGACGCUGAGGCACGAAAGCGUGGGGAGCAAACAGG